AUGAGGAUAUUAAGUUGGAAUUGCCGAGGGCAUGGGAACGCCCCGGCAGUGCGUGCUUUGCUGGAUGUCCAGUGGAGAUGUGACCCUGACGUGAUGUUUUUGUCGGAGACACACCUUGACAGUUAUCCGGCUGAGUGUCUGCGUCGAAGGCUCAAGAUGGACCAGAAGUUUGUUUGUCCCAGUGACGGAAGGAGAGGAGGUUUACUGCUGUUAUGGAAAAAUAAUGUUAAAGUU
rnacentral:rRNA from 1 species